CGUGUAGGUGGUUUGACGGGUCCGGCAUUAAAUCCCCCGGCCUAACCGGGGAAGUGUGUCGGAAACUAUCAAACUGGAGUCUGAAAAAGGAGAGCGGAACUCCUGGUGUAACGGUGAAAUGUGUGGAUAUCAGGAGGAACACCGGUGGCGAAGGCGGCUCUCUAGUUCAAGACUGACACUGAGGCGCGAAAGCCGGGGGAGCAAACAGGAUUAGAUACCCUGGUAGUCCCGGCCCUAAACUAUGGGUGUUAGGUAUCGGUCUCUCGGGAUCGGUGUCGUAGCUAACGCGUUAAACACCCCACCUGGGAAGUACGGUCGCAAGGCUGAA
rnacentral:rRNA from 1 species